rnacentral:ncRNA from 1 species
CACAAGUUUGGUCCUGGCUUUACUGUCAGCUUUGAUAAAAUUUAUACAUGCAAGUCUCCGCAUCCCUGUGAGAAUGCCCUAAUAUCUACCUAAAACUGGUAAAAAGGAGCUGGUAUCAGGCACGACCCUAGUCAGCCCACGACACCUUGCUUAGCCACACCCCCACGGGAUUCCAGCAGUAACAAACAUUAAGCCAUAAGUGUAAGCUUGACUUAGUUAACAUCAUUUAGGGCCGGUUAAACUCGUGCCAGCCACCGCGGUUAUACGAGAGGCCCAAGUUGACAGACAUCGGCGUAAAGAGUGGUUAAUAGAAAUGAUACUAAGGCUAAACAUCUUCAAGGCUGUUAUACGCACCCGAAGACAGGAAAACCUACCACGAAAGUGGCCUUAACCUAUUUGAACCCACUAAAGCUAGGAGACAAACUGGGAUUAGAUACCCCACUAUGCCUAGCCAUAAACCUAGAUAGUUUUUUACAACACUAUUCGCCAGGGGACAACGAGCCCCAGCUUAAAACCCAAAGGACUUGGCGGUGCUUUAGACCCCCCUAGAGGAGCCUGUUCUAGAACCGAUAAUCCCCGUUCAACCUCACCCUCUCUUGUCUUUCCCGCCUAUAUACCGCCGUCGUCAGCUUACCCUGUGAAGGUCAAACAGUAAGCAAAAUUGGCACAGCCCAAAACGUCAGGUCGAGGUGUAGCGAACGAGAGGGGAAGAAAUGGGCUACAUUUACUGAACCAGUAUACACGGACAUUGUACUGAAAAAGCAUUUAAAGGAGGAUUUAGCAGUAAGGGGAGAGUAGAGCGCCCCCCUGAAAACGGCCCUGAAGCGCGUACACACCGCCCGUCACUCUCCCCGAAAGCCUAUUUUACUUUAACUAAAAAGCUAGCCAAGAAAAGGGGAGGCAAGUCGUAACAUGGUAAGUGUACCGGAAGGUGCACUUGGAAAAACC